rnacentral:rRNA from 1 species
UACAGAGGAGCCAAGCGUUGUCCGGAUUGACUGGGCGUAAAGCGCACGCAGGCGGCUGCGCGCGUGGGGUGUGAAAUCUGGCCGCUUAACGGCCAGGCGCCAUCCCAUACGGCGCGGCUUGAGCCUUGCAGAGGGCGGUGGAAUUGCCGGUGUAGUGGUGAAAUGCGUAGAGAUCGGCAGGAACACCCAGGGGGAAACCAGCCGCCUGGGCAAGCGCUGACGCUGAGGUGCGAGAGCGUGGGGAGCGAACAGG